rnacentral:rRNA from 1 species
AGCGCGGGGCAACCUGGCGGCGAGUGGCGAACGGGUGAGUAAUAUAUCGGAACGUACCCUGGAGUGGGGGAUAACGUAGCGAAAGUUACGCUAAUACCGCAUACGAUCUAAGGAUGAAAGUGGGGGAUCGCAAGACCUCAUGCUCCUGGAGCGGCCGAUAUCUGAUUAGCUAGUUGGCGGGGUAAAAGCCCACCAAGGCAACGAUCAGUAGCUGGUCUGAGAGGACGACCAGCCACACUGGAACUGAGACACGGUCCAGACUCCUACGGGAGGCAGCAGUGGGGAAUUUUGGACAAUGGGCGCAAGCCUGAUCCAGCAAUGCCGCGUGAGUGAAGAAGGCCUUCGGGUUGUAAAGCUCUUUUGUCAGGGAAGAAACGGUGGGGGCUAAUAUCCUCCGCUAAUGACGGUACCUGAAGAAUAAGCACCGGCUAACUACGUGCCUGCAGCCGCGGUAAUACGUAGGGUGCAAGCGUUAAUCGGAAUUACUGGGCGUAAAGCGUGCGCAGGCGGUUUUGUAAGUCUGUCGUGAAAUCCCCGGGCUCAACCUGGGAAUUGCGAUGGAGACUGCAAGGCUAGAGUUUGGCAGAGGGGGGUAGAAUUCCACGUGUAGCAGUGAAAUGCGUAGAUAUGUGGAGGAACACCGAUGGCGAAGGCAGCCCCCUGGGUCAAAACUGACGCUCAUGCACGAAAGCGUGGGGAGCAAACAGGAUUAGAUACCCUGGUAGUCCACGCCCUAAACGAUGUCUACUAGUUGUCGGGUCUUAAUUGACUUGGUAACGCAGCUAACGCGUGAA